rnacentral:rRNA from 1 species
CCUACGGGAGGCAGCAGUGGGGAAUAUUGCACAAUGGGCGGAAGCUGAUGCAGCAACGCCGCGUGAGGGAUGACGGCCUUCGGGUUGUAAACCUCUUUUAGCAGGGAAGAAGCGAAAGUGACGGUACCUGCAGAAAAAGCGCCGGCUAACUACGUGCCAGCAGCCGCGGUAAUACGUAGGGCGCAAGCGUUAUCCGGAAUUAUUGGGCGUAAAGAGCUCGUAGGCGGUUUGUCGCGUCUGCUGUGAAAUCUGGGGGCUCAACCCCCAGCCUGCAGUGGGUACGGGCAGACUAGAGUGCGGUAGGGGAGAUUGGAAUUCCUGGUGUAGCGGUGGAAUGCGCAGAUAUCAGGAGGAACACCGAUGGCGAAGGCAGAUCUCUGGGCCGUAACUGACGCUGAGGAGCGAAAGGGUGGGGAGCAAACAGGCUUAGAUACCCUGGUAGUCCACCCCGUAAACGUUGGGAACUAGUUGUGGGGUCCAUUCCACGGAUUCCGUGACGCAGCUAACGCAUUAAGUUCCCCGCCUGGGGAGUACGGCCGCAAGGCUAAAACUCAAAGGAAUUGACGGGG